UGACUGAGAGGCACAUGCAAAUUACCCAGGAAGAAAAAGUUCAUGUUGCUGUUACUAAAAAAGUGGAACCUCCAAGACCAAAAGGUACAUGGGGCCUUUUGAUACCCGGAAUGUUCUGCUUACCCUCUUCUCUUUACCAAAUACACUAAAAAUGGGUGUUGGUUUUUUGUUGUCAUUGUUAUCAUUGUUUUCUGUUUGAAAUCAUGAAAAUGUCAAGUCUUUUAUGUUUGAGUUGCUAUUACACGACUACCAUUUUGUGGUUUGAAUGAGGAAAACAGUUCUUUAAAGUGAAAUCUGUCUUUAAAGUGCCUGAGGAACCCAAGAGAGCUGUUCCAGAAGAGAAAUUUCCAAAACUCAAGCCUAGAAAGGAGGAGGAACCACCAGCGAAAGUGACUGAACUCAGGAAAAGAGCUGCUAAAGAAGAAAAGGUAUCCAUUGAAGUUGCAAAAAGAGAACCUCCAGCCGUUAAAGGUAUAUUGUGCUUUGACUAAAUAAUAAAAUAAGCACGAACCUACACAGCUCUUUGCCUGUUAGUUCCUAAUUUGAGUCUCAUCCUUCUGGCUUAUUGUUGACUAAAGGCAGGGAAUCUAACAUUUGAAUUUGUAAAUAGCAACUGUACACUCUGUAAUACCCUGGCCAGCAAAGGACAGUCAAGGUCUCCCAUAACUAGUGCAUGAGACCAUUACCAGGAAAUGAAAUCACAGCACGUUGUCACUAUGGGCCCUAAAUGGGCUUCAAGUAAAAUGCUGCUGUUGUCCAUAUUAUUCCAGAAGUUACUGUAGCAGCAGAGAAAGAAUGGGCUUACACCAAAGAAGAAGAAACUGUUUCAGUAGAACGGGAAGAAGAAUAUGAGGAAUAUGAAGAAUAUGAUUAUAAAGAAUUUGAGGAGUAUGAACCAACAGAAGAAUAUGAUCAGUAUGAAGAGUAUGAGGAACGUGAAUUCGAACAUUAUGAAGAGUAUAAAGAACAUGAAGAGUAUGUCACAGAACCUGAGAAGCCUGUCCCAGUAAAGCCUGUCCAGGAAGAACCAGUUCCCACAAAACCAAAGGCCCCACCAGCUAAAGUGCCGAAGAAAGUGGUCCCUGAAGAAAAAGUGCCAGUGCCCAUCCCUAAGAAACUCAAACCGCCACCUCCCAAAGGUACAUGGCAGUGUAAUAACACCAACAACAUCUUUGUCACUUACAUUCGAUCAACAUGUCUUACUGCCUUGUCUGGUGUUCUUUGUUUUGACUGAAUGUAUUGUUUGGUGCUGAUUCUUACCUUUCUCCAUGUUUCAUGAAUUUUUAUUUACAUGAUAUUAGUGUGUUUGGUUUUAAUGGUCUUUAAUAAUUAAUAUCUUUAAAGCACGUGAAGAAGCAAAGAAAGUUGUUGAGGAAAAAAUACACAUUUCAGUUACCAAACGUGAAAAAGAGCAGGUGGCUGAACCAGCUGCUAAAGGUAUAAUUUCCUUCCUCGAUUGUGGCCUUUUAUAAUGUCUCUUUUAAAACUUAAGCAGCUAUGUUUUGCUUUUUUUCCCUCACUGUUUUGUAUCUUUUAUAUUAAUUGCUAGAUGGACAUUGGAUAGAAAAAUCUAUAAAUACAGAAUAAAAAGAUAAUGUUAUCUUAAAAGGAAAAGUUAUCGCAAAAUAUAUCCAUAUCUCCUUAUGCAAUCGCUGUCCUAACACACAGCUACAAUGAAUAUAGAAUACAAUGUUUAGAUUUAAAAUCAGUGACCAUUUGGCAGAUUCCUGACUUACCUAAAUUGAUGUAAUGAUAUAACAAUAUACGCCACCGUUUAAGAUCUGUUUGUUGAUCCUAAAUUCAUUUUGAAGAUUGAAGAAAGACCAUUUUCCCCUGCUUUUUACUAAGUAGCUCCUCUGCAAUUUCAGACAGUAUACCUACCCAGAAAUAAGUUUAGCUGUUCGGUAAAGGAUGUUUCAUACAAGAAGAGAUAUCAGACGCCAAACACUACUUCACAAUCUUAGGAUUACCCAGACUUCCUUGAGUACUUUUGUAUGUUUUUAUUCCAGUGAGGUUCAGAAUCUGUUCCAUGGAAAAUAUAAAGUUUCUCUAGUUGAACAACCGUAUAUCUACCAUAGGAGAGACACUAGCAAAAUCAUUUUAUAUCCUUAAAGUACAAUAGAGCAAGCAUUAAUUGGGUGACCUGUUUCUAAAAAUAAAAUUUCCUUAUACUUACUGUUUCAAGUGCCCAUGAAGCCCAAGAGGGUUGUCACAGAAGAAAAAGUACCUGUUCCUAAAAAAGAAGUAGCAGCACCUGUUAGAGGUACCUAUAUGUGCUCUUCUUAAUGUGUUGUUUGUCUUUUUUGGUAUGAAAUUCAUGUUCAGUUCUAUGUGUAAAGUUCUUCUGUGGGAAAGAUGAAGCCUAUUCCUUCUUCUAUGACAAAUAGCCAUGUUCCUAAUAUGUCUUAAUUUUGUCAAGUAAUUGGAAAAUAUCCAACCUAAAAAUAAUGUCUUUAAAGUGCCUGAAGUACCUAAAAGAGAAGAACCAGAAGAGAUUGCCUUUGAAGAGGAAGUUGUAACCCACGUAGAGGAAUAUUAUGAAGAAGAAGAAGAAGCAGAAGAGUACAUUCAUGAAGAAGAGGAACUCAUAACUGAAGAAGAAGUGAUACCAGUCAAAGGUAGAUUACAUCUGCUACCAAGGGAUAAGCAGCAACAUCUUUAGUGUCCAGUUCGGUUAAAU
ensembl:lncRNA